rnacentral:sRNA from 1 species
AAGGCCUUGUCCUCCCAAAUAGGUCUCGGCAACAAGACAGGGCGUCCUCUAGGCAGCUGUGUCCCAGUGCCUUCUACACUAAGGGCACCUCCCAGGUAAAUUAACUUCACCCCUUCCAAGGACCUCCACAUUGCAAAUCUGAAAGUCUCACGUGUCACGUUGACCUCACAGUUGGCAACGUAAAGAAGAAAGAGUUUAUUUUGGCUUAUGGUUACACAGUGCUAAGAGUCCAUCACCAUCACAGCAGGGAGGCACGGCAACCAACAAGCUACUGGAACAGCAGCUAGAAUACUUCAGAAGCUGAGAGCUCACUUCUUCAACCACAAACACAAAGCAGAGAAACCGGAAAUGGCGGAAAUGGCGACCUUUCACCGGCUUGGAAAACAGAAUCUAGAAGAGGCUGGCUUGCUGCUGAUCUGACAGGAGCCUAGCAGGACUGUCCUCUGAGAGGUUCCACCCAGCAGCCGACUGAAACGGAUACCGAGACCCACAGCUAAACAUUAGACAGAGCCUGGGAACUCUUAUGGGAGAGUUGGGAGAAGGGUUGAGGGCUCGGAAGGGGAUGGGAACUUCAUGGGAAGAUCAGCAGAGUCAACUAAUCUGGACCCUUGGGGGCUCUCAGAAACUGAGCCACCAACCAAAGAGUACAGACUGGACCGAGACCCCCGGCACAUACUUAGUCUCCAUGUGGGUCCUCCAACAACUGGAGCAGGGGCUGUCCCUAAAGCUAUUACCUGCCAUUCUCCAACUGGGUUGGCUUAUCUGGGGUGGCAGUGGGAAAAGGUGUACCUAACACUGCAGAGACUUGGUGUACCAGGGAGGGCCCUCACCCGCUUAGAGGAGAAGGAGAUGGGGAGGGGACAUGUUGGGGGAGAAGGGGGAACAUUCGGGAUGUAUAAUGAAA